rnacentral:pre_miRNA from 1 species
AUAGAUGUCCCUUGGGGGACUUGCUGCAUGCAGAUUCUCAUUAUGCACUUGUGUAUAUGGGGCCUAAGACUCUGCAUUUCUAACAAGCUUCCAGAUGAUGCUGAG